CCUUUGACGUUAGCGGCGGACGGGUGAGUAACACGUGGGUAACCUACCUAUAAGACUGGGAUAACUUCGGGAAACCGGAGCUAAUACCGGAUAAUAUUUCGAACCGCAUGGUUCGAUAGUGAAAGAUGGUUUUGCUAUCACUUAUAGAUGGACCCGCGCCGUAUUAGCUAGUUGGUAAGGUAACGGCUUACCAAGGCGACGAUACGUAGCCGACCUGAGAGGGUGAUCGGCCACACUGGAACUGAGACACGGUCCAGACUCCUACGGAGGCAGCAGACC
rnacentral:rRNA from 1 species